AGCCACGCAGUGAGCACAUAGCGAACUAUUCUUUCGCCUUUUACUAAAGAAUACCGUGUGCUCGCUGCACUUAGUGGCAUACCCCAAUUUUUGUAGGAGGGCUCCCUCUUCU